rnacentral:rRNA from 1 species
AGAGUUUGAUCAUGGCUCAGAUUGAACGCUGGCGGCGUGCCUAACACAUGCAAGUCGAGCGGUAACAGGUGUAGCAAUACAUGCUGACGAGCGGCGAACGGGUGAGUAAUGCUUUGGAAUCUUCCCAGUAGUGGGGAAUAACCAGUCGAAAGAUUGGCUAAUACCGCAUACGUCUGUAAAGGGAAAGCGGGGGCUCGUAAGACCUCGCGCUAUUGGAUGAGCCAAAGUCGGAUUAGCUAGUUGGUGGGGUAAUGGCCUACCAAGGCGACAAUCCGUAGCUGGUCUGAGAGGACGACCAGCCACACCGGAACUGAGACACGGUCCGGACUCCUACGGGAGGCAGCAGUGGGGAAUAUUGGACAAUGGGGGAAACCCUGAUCCAGCGACGCCGCGUGUGUGAAGAAGGCCUGCGGGUUGUAAAGCACUUUUAGUGGGGACAAAAAGCUACGGAUUAAUACUCUGUGGUCUUGAUUUAACCCAAAGAAAAAGCACCGGCUAACUCUGUGCCAGCAGCCGCGGUAAUACAGAGGGUGCGAGCGUCAAUCGGAAUUACUGGGCGUAAAGCGCGCGUAGACGGUUUUGUAAGUCAGAUGUGAAAUCCCUGGGCUCAACCUGGGAACUGCAUUUGAGACUGCAUGGCUAGAGUAUCGAAGAGGGAAGUGGAAUUUCCGGUGUAGCGGUGAAAUGCGUAGAUAUCGGAAGGAACACCAGUGGCGAAAGCGACUUCCUGGUCGAAUACUGACGUUCAUGUGCGAAAGCGUGGGGAGCAAACAGGAUUAGAUACCCUAGUAGUCC